CUGGCUCAGAACGAACGCUGGCGGCGCGUCUUAAGCAUGCAAGUCGAACGGCAAGAGGUAGCAAUACCUCCUAGAGUGGCGGACUGGUGAGUAACACGUGGGUGACAUACCCUUCAGAUGGGGAUAGCUAUUAGAAAUAGUAGAUAAUACCGAAUACGAGCACAGGGGUUAGAGAUCUGGUGGGGAAAGGAGCUAAGGCUCCGCUGAAGGAAUGGCCUGCGGCCCAUUAGCUAGUUGGUGAGGUAAGAGCCCACCAAGGCGAUGAUGGGUAUCCGGCCUUAGAGGGUGAACGGACACAUUGGGACUGAGAUACGGCCCAGACUCCUACGGGAGGCAGCAGCUAAGAAUAUUCCGCAAUGGACGAAAGUCUGACGGAGCGACGCCGCCGUGGAUGAAGAAGGCCGGAAGGUUGUAAAAUCCUUUUGAAACUGAAGAAUAAGCGUUGUAGGGAAUGACAGCGUGGUGACAGUAGGUUUUGAAUAAGCAACGGCUAAUUACGUGCCAGCCGCCGC
rnacentral:rRNA from 1 species